GCUACAAGCCAGGCUAUCGCCCCGAUUUAUCGGGGAGGAAAGUCCGGACAGCACAUAGCAAUGCACCGGUGAAGAGCCGGGUGUCUUGAGCAAACAGGAUAACAGACAGUGCCACAGAAAAUAACUACUCCGAUUUAUCGGGGAAAAGGUGAAAAUGUGAGGUAAAAGCUCACAGCUUGUAUGAGCGAUCGUACAUCCGGGUAAACCUUGCAUGCUGAAAUGCCACAUAUACCAUCGCCUGAGGACUGCUCGUCCGAUGAUGGAGGGUAGGCAGAUUGAUCCCGAUUGGUAACUUUCGGGACAGAUAAAUGAUAGCCCACGACAGAACCCGGCUUACCGGCUUGUAGCUUUU
rnacentral:RNase_P_RNA from 1 species